rnacentral:tRNA from 1 species
AUGGGGUCUGGCACGAUAUUGAGGCGCCCUGCUGCCACCCCGGCCGAUGAUUGGGGUGCGACACCCCAAUCUUGCU